rnacentral:rRNA from 1 species
CCUACGGGAGGCAGCAGUGGGGAAUAUUGGACAAUGGGGGCAACCCUGAUCCAGCAAUGUCGCGUGUGUGAAGAAGGCCUGCGGGUUGUAAAGCACUUUCAAUUGUGAAGAAAAGCUUAGGGUUAAUACCCCUGAGUCUUGACGUUAACUUUAGAAGAAGCACCGGCUAACUCCGUGCCAGCAGCCGCGGUAAU